AGAAAGGUUACUUAAAGCGUAUGGAGGAUGCCUAGACUGAAGUAAGCGAUGAAGGACGUAGCAGGUUGCGAUAAGCCUCGGGGAGCUGCCAAGCAAGCUUUGAUCCGAGGAUUUCCGAAUGAGACAACUCUUCGCCGAUGAGGCGAAAUCAUUAACUGAAUUCAUAGGUUAAUGAAGCACACCCUGGGAACUGAAACAUCUUAGUACCAGGAGGAAAAGAAAACAAUAGUGAUUCCGCAAGUAGUGGCGAGCGAAAGCGGAACAGCCGACACUCUUUAGCAUUGAUCCAAUAGAAUGUCUCUGGAAAGAGCGACCAUAGAGGGUAAUAGUCCCGUAUAUGAACGAUUGAUGUGGAAAUAGGUGUGUCAAAAAGUAGGGCGGGACCGGAGAAAUCCCGUUUGAAGAUGGGAGCACUAACUUCCAAGGCUAAAUAUUACUUCAGAUCGAUAGUGAACUAGUACCGUGAGGGAAAGGUGAAAAGCAUCCCGAUAAGGGAGAUGAAAUAGUAUCUGAAACCAUACGCUAACAAAGAAUCAGAGCCCCGGCGCUUGCGUCGAGGUGAUGGUGUGCUUUUUGCAGAACGAGCCAACGAGUUAGUUUUAUAUGGCAGCGUAAGCCACUUUGUGGCGGACGCAUAGUGAAAGCGAGGCUUAACCGCCGCAUAUUGUCGUAUGGACUAGACCCGAAGCCAGGCGAGCUACAUAUGAGCAGGGUGAACUCCGAGUAACAUCGGGGGGAGGCCCGAACCCACUAGUCGUUCGACUCUAGGGGAUGACUUGUGUGUAGAGGAGAAAUUCCAAUCGAGCUUGGCAAUAGCUGGUUCUCUCCGAAAUAGCUUGAGGGCUAGCGUUCGGUAAAUGAGCAUGGGAGGUAGAGCUACUGAAUGAGGCCGCGCGGCUUGCCGUAGCGAUCUCAACCAAACUCCGAAUUCCCAUGUUUCUUAUCCGAGCAGUCAGAAAUCCGGCUCUAAGGUCGGAUCUCAAAAGGGAAAAAGCCCAGAUCAUAAUCUAAGGUCCCCAAAUUCAUGUUAAGUGGAAAAGGAAGUAAAGUUUCUCAAACACCUAGGAGGUUGGCUUAGAAGCAGCCAUCCUUUAAAGAGUGCGUAAUAGCUCACUAGUUUAGAGAUUUUGCGCCGAAAAUGUAACGGGGCUAAACAUGAUACCGAAGAUAUGGACUCCAGUGCAUGACACUGGAAUUUUCAAUUUUCAAUUUUCAAUUUUCAAUCAAUGAUUUAAUGACUUAAUUUUUAAAUUUAAUAAAUUAAGAAAUUAGAAAUUGUUUAGAAAUUAGAGCCUAAGGCGUGAGCCGUGGUGGAGCGCAGGGAAGUGAGAAUGUUGGCAUAAGUAACCGCAAUGCACGUGAGAGCCGUGCACCCCGAAAGUCCAAGGUUUCCUGGGCAAUGGUGAUCAUCCCAGGGUUAGUCGGUCCUAAGGCGAGGCUGAAAAGCGUAGUCGAUGGACAACAGGUUAAUAUUCCUGUACUGAAAUAAUAUUCGAUGGAGGGACGCAUUUUAGUAUAUUCUGCGCCUUAAUGGAUUGGCGUAGGGUUUUUAAGGAAGCUUUCUAGGAAAAUCCGGAAAGCAAUAUUCCAAGAAUUCUCUGGAACCCCGACCUCGUGUCGGGGGAACAGAAUAAAGCAAAGUGCCAGGAAAAACUUCUAAGAUUAGUAUUAUUUCAUCCGUACCGCAAACCGACACAGGUGGACAGGGCGAGUAGCCCAAGGGGAACGGGAGAACCUUCGUUAAGGAACUCGGCAAAACAGCUAGACGUAAGUUCGCAAGAUGUCUCGCCUAUAUCGCAAGGUAUAGGCCGCAGCUAAAGAUCCCAAGCGACUGUUUAUCAAAAACACAGGUCUCUGCAAACCCGCAAGGGGAAGUAUAGGGGCUGACGCCUGACCAGUGCUGGAACGUUAACGGGAGCGGUGCAAGCCAAUCCCCGAAGCGCCAGUGAACGUC
rnacentral:ncRNA from 1 species